CAUGCUAUUGUUGUUUAGCUUAUGAUAUGUGAGAGUUUGAUUCAUAGAUGUUGUUCUAUAUUGAAUUGAACUUGAAUGUUGGCUUAGUGCCCGAUGAUUGGCUUUAUGCCAAAAGGCUUUUAUGCCUUAAAUUAUUGGCUGUGUGCCCAGUGAUUGGCUUUAUGCGAUAUGGCUUUAUGCCUUAAACUAUUGGCUGUGUGCCCGGUGAUUGGCUUAAUGCCAAAAGGCUUAUGCCUUAAAUUAUUGGCUGCUUAUCUGGUGUUACUUUUUUAUUUCUCGAUAAACUGUUGACAAGUUGAGAUUAUCUUUUAGCUGUUGGAUAUUACUGUUAUGUUGUAUUUGGAGGAUGUGGUGAUUAUAUCUGUUACGUACAUUUGAGUAUCUCAGAUAUGUUGAGAAUUUAUAUUUUGGUUGUUAUUUAUUCGGUUGUUGCUAUAUUUUGUUGAGCAUUUCUAUAUCUCACACACUCUGGCUUUCCUUUUUGGUCUGCCAGGUAGCAGGUUGCGUAGAGUGGGUCCACUACCGGUCAACGUGUUGAGAAGUGUUUGGGCUAGCGUCAGAUGAUGUGGAUAAGCGAGUUGGUUGUAGGUUGUGAGGUGUGGUUCAGUUUUUGGUGUGGAAUGUCACGUGGUCGCGUCGACUCGGGCCCACAUUGGGUGCCGUUUGCGGGGCGGGGCGUGACAAGUCCGUUGGGCAAGUGGCAGCUGGGAUGCAAGUGAUAGCCCGAUGAUUAUUGGGGCAUGGAUGCUAAACGGGAAGCUAGCUUGUGGGACAAUGCAAUCAGAAAAUGGCUAAGUAUUUGGAGCUGGGUUGGAUCACGAAAUUGGCCAGGCAGCCUUGAUUGGGAUCAGGCAAAACGGUUAUUGACGGUUACUACAUUCUGCACAAGUCGCUGGCAGGCAGGGACAGGUGUCCCCAGCAGAAUCGGGCAGUUAUUAGCAGUUAUUGCCAGGCAGUUUUACUUUCCUAUGUGCUGGCAGCUUGUGGCUGUGCCAGCACAACCCUAGGGCAGUUGGGGGUGUCAACUGCAGAUCAUGGGGCCACCCCAUGAUCCCAUUUCACUUAGUGGCCACGUUUUAUUGAUUGUAGCCUUAUAAAGGCACUGCAUUUUCGAGUCUAAGGCAGAGGGAUGUUCUGUCUAGUACUCUAAGUGUUUUCCUUGUAUUGUCGGUGCAAUAAAAGGUUGGGAACGGGUUCCUGUAAA